rnacentral:rRNA from 1 species
GACGAACGCUGGCGGCGUGCUUAACACAUGCAAGUCGAACGGAAAGGCCCUGCUCUUGUGGGGUGCUCGAGUGGCGAACGUGUGAGUAACACGUGAGUAACCUGCCCUUGACUUUGGGAUAACUUCAGGAAACUGGGGCUAAUACCGGAUAGGAGCUCCUGCUGCAUGGUGGGGGUUGGAAAGUUUCGGCGGUUGGGGAUGGACUCGCGGCUUAUCAGCUUGUUGGUGGGGUAGUGGCUUACCAAGGCUUUGACGGGUAGCCGGCCUGAGAGGGUGACCGGCCACAUUGGGACUGAGAUACGGCCCAGACUCCUACGGGAGGCAGCAGUGGGGAAUAUUGCACAAUGGGCGGAAGCCUGAUGCAGCAACGCCGCGUGCGGGAUGACGGCCUUCGGGUUGUAGACCGCUUUCGCCUGUGACGAAGCGUGAGUGACGGUAAUGGGUAAAGAAGCACCGGCUAACUACGUG